UGAGAAUUUGGCCUCUGUCCA
rnacentral:miRNA from 1 species